UAGUACCUGCAGCUACAGUUUUUGUGAUAAGCAGUUUUGGUUGUUCCGAUCUUGUUACCCCCUCAAUUCCUCGUUUCAUUAUCUGUAAGCAAAAAGCAAAUUGUUAAUUUAUUACAGGUAAGAUUUUUAUGGCUACAGGCACAGUAAAAUGGUUUAACGAGGCCAAAGGUUUCGGGUUUAUUUCUCAGGAUGAUGGUGGCCCGGAUGUAUUCGUACAUUUCAACGCGAUCGAAGGCUCGGGUUUCAAAACCCUGGCGGAAGGUCAGCCGGUCACUUUUAAUGUCGAGAAAGGUCCCAAGGGUCUUCAGGCAAGCAAAGUCAGCUAGACUUGGUAUCGUUGUAUAGAUACUGGAGAACCCCGCUUAGGCGGGGUUCUUUGU
rnacentral:sRNA from 1 species